UACAGAGGUCCCAAGCGUUGUUCGGAUUCAUUGGGCGUAAAGGGUGCGUAGGUGGCGUGGUAAGUCGGGUGUGAAAUUUCGGAGCUUAACUCCGAAACUGCAUUCGAUACUGCCGUGCUUGAGGACUGGAGAGGUGACUGGAAUUUACGGUGUAGCAGUGAAAUGCGUAGAGAUCGUAAGGAAGACCAGUGGCGAAGGCGGGUCUCUGGACAGUUCCUGACACUGAUGCGCGACAGCGUGGGGAGCAAACAGG
rnacentral:rRNA from 1 species